rnacentral:rRNA from 1 species
GAUGAACGCUGGCGGCGUGCCUAAUACAUGCAAGUCGAGCGAACAGACGAGGAGCUUGCUCCUCUGACGUUAGCGGCGGACGGGUGAGUAACACGUGGAUAACCUACCUAUAAGACUGGGAUAACUUCGGGAAACCGGAGCUAAUACCGGAUAAUAUAUUGAACCGCAUGGUUCAAUAGUGAAAGACGGUUUUGCUGUCACUUAUAGAUGGAUCCGCGCCGCAUUAGCUAGUUGGUAAGGUAACGGCUUACCAAGGCAACGAUGCGUGGCCGACCUGAGAGGGUGAUUGGCCACACUGGAACUGAGACACGGUCCAGACUCCUACGGGAGGCAGCAGUAGGGAAUCUUCCGCAAUGGGCGAAAGCCUGACGGAGCAACGCCGCGUGAGUGAUGAAGGUCUUCGGAUCGUAAAACUCUGUUAUUAGGGAAGAACAAAUGUGUAAGUAACUAUGCACGUCUUGACGGUACCUAAUCAGAAAGCCACGGCUAACUACGUG